rnacentral:rRNA from 1 species
CCUACGGGCGGCAGCAGUGGGGAAUAUUGGACAAUGGGCGAAAGCCUGAUCCAGCCAUGCCGCGUGUGUGAAGAAGGCCUUCGGGUUGUAAAGCACUUUCAGUGGGGAAGAAAGCCUUGGGGCUAAUACCCUCGAGGAAGGACAUCACCCACAGAAGAAGCACCGGCUAACUCCGUGCCAGCAGCCGCGGUAAUACGGAGGGUGCGAGCGUUAAUCGGAAUUACUGGGCGUAAAGUGCGCGUAGGCGGUCUGAUAAGCCGGUUGUGAAAGCCCCGGGCUCAACCUGGGAACGGCAUCCGGAACUGUCAGGCUAGAGUGCAGGAGAGGAAGGUAGAAUUCCCGGUGUAGCGGUGAAAUGCGUAGAGAUCGGGAGGAAUACCAGUGGCGAAGGCGGCCUUCUGGACUGACACUGACGCUGAGGUGCGAAAGCGUGGGUAGCAAACAGGAUUAGAUACCCUAGUAGUC